rnacentral:rRNA from 1 species
CCUACGGGUGGCAGCAGUGAGGAAUAUUGGUCAAUGGGCGCGAGCCUGAACCAGCCAAGUCGCGUGAGGGAAGAAGGCACUGCGUAUCGUAAACCUCUUUUGUCAAGGAAUAAAGGCGGGGACUAGUCCCCGGAUGUGGGUACCUUAAGAAAAAGCAUCGGCUAACUCCGUGCCAGCAGCCGCGGUAAUACGGAGGAUUCGAGCGUUAUCCGGAUUUAUUGGGUUUAAAGGGUGCGCAGGCGGGCCGUUAAGUCAGCGGUAAAAGCCUGCGGCUCAACCCCGGCAGAGCGUUUGAUCCUGGCGGGCUGGAGUUGGAGAGAGGUAGGCGGAAUUCGUGGUGUAGCGGUGAAAUGCUUAGAUAUCGCGCAGAACCCCGAUUGCGAAGGCAGCGUACCGGCCCCACACUGACGCUGAGGCACGAAAGCGUGGGUAUCGAACAGGAUUAGAUACCCGAGUAGUC